rnacentral:rRNA from 6 species
CGGAUAUCUAGGCUCUUGCAUCGAUGAAGAACGUAGCGAAAUGCGAUACUUGGUGUGAAUUGCAGAAUCCCGUGAACCAUCGAGUCUUUGAACGCAAGUUGCGCCCGAUGCCAUUAGGUUGAGGGCACGUCUGCCUGGGCGUCACAUAUCGAAGCCUCUUGCCA